UUCGUAGAUUUCUGAUGAGAAGACUGAGAGUGAGAGGAGAGAACUGAUAUUGCUGUUCCUUUGGGGGCAGUGAUUGAAGUGUGAGAGGGAGUCGUGCGGAGACCAAGGGGGAGGUAGAGAGUGAAGUGGAGGUGAGAGUGAAGUGGAGGUGAGAGUGAACUGGAGGUGAGAGUGAACUGGAGGUGAGAAGAGGUGGAAUGGAGGUAAAGGAGAGUGAAGUGGAGGUGAGAGAGUGUGAACUGGAGGUGAGAGAGUGUGAACUGGAGGUGAGAGAGAGUGAAUUGGAGGUAAAGGAGAGUGAAUUGGAGGUAAAGGAGAGUGAAUUGGAGGUGAGAAGAGGUGAACUGGAGGUAAAGGAGAGUGAAUUGGAGGUGAGAGAGAGUGAACUGGAGGUGAGAAGAGGUGAACUGGAGGUGAGAAGAUGUGAACUGGAGGUAAAGGAGUGAACUGGANGUNANGGAGUGCAANNGANNUUNCNAUCCNNNNGNNGNCANNNNNNGANUUGUNNNNNNNNNNNNNNGGGAUAGGAUUGAGAGUGAAUGUGANCAGUGUGUANAAANNUUUGUGCAUAAAAUUUUGUGCANAAAAUNNNNGNNNGUUNGNGUCNGUUNGNGUUNGUUUGNGNNNGNUUGNGUCNGNUNGNGUCNGNNNNNGNGNUCGUAUGCCUGUGUUUGUGUUUGUGCGUAGUGCGGUUUUGUGUUUNGUAUGGCCGAGGGUCGUGUGUUGCCAAAACCUAUUAAAAAGGCCUUCAUUUUGCCCUCUAUAUGAUUUCUCUGGUCGUUAAAAUACCCCCCAGUUGAUACGGUUUGAAAUUCUUAGACUGUGAUUUUUGGGAGGGGUUUCAAUGUUGCACAGUUUCAAUGUUGCGCGAUAAAUGAAUAUACAAGAAGAAAUUGUGGCAGAGUGAGAACUGGUGGAGUGGGAAAUGAAAGAAAAAAUUUUGAAUGGACCCACAAGGACAUAAUAAUUCAAUACACGGCUCUUUUGGUUCAAUGCUUUUGUUUUAAACGUCUUUUUUCGGGCCAUUUUGAUUGACGCUUAGUGGUGGUCAGUAGCGCGCGCACUCCGAAAAAUAUGCGGAUUUUACGCAACUUUUGUUAGACUUUUUCAAAAAGAAUAUUUUUGCAGCAGGCAAACUGCGCGGCUGCAGCAUUUUGCGACCGGAGGUACUAUAUGAGAGAGAAAUCUCUUAGGAAUAGUGAGAGCAUUUGUAUGAACUUUUCACAAGUUCACACAAUAUACCUCCGAAUUCCGAUGGAAUAAGAAGAUUUAUAAGAAUUUUAUAUGAACUUUCAUAUAAACUCAUAUAAACUCUCAUAAAACCUUCCUAUUUCUUGGCCCUGCGAUUUAUCGCUCAAGUCUCGGGCUGACAACGUCUCCCCGAGCAAGGUGAAACAGUGGAUUACUAGGCAAUGCCAAGUCCACCAAAACCCAGAUCAUUAGAUCUUUUUGCUACGAGUCAGUGGACAAUCCAGUUAGUAAUAACUUCUACAUAGUUAUCUGGUUG
rnacentral:misc_RNA from 1 species